CUUUGACUCUGGGAUAAGCCUGGGAAACUGGGUCUAAUACCGGAUGCGACUACUGCCCGCAUGGGCUGGUGGUGGAAAGGGUUAUGUACUGGUCUUAGAUGGGCUCACGGCCUAUCAGCUGGUUGGUGGGGUAAUGGCCUACCAAGGCGACGACGGGUAGCCGGCCUGAGAGGGUGACCGGCCACACUGGGACUGAGACCGGCCAGACUCCUACGGGAGGCAGCAGUGGGGAAUAUUGCACAAUGGGCGCAAGCCUGAUGCAGCGACGCCGCGUGAGGGAUGAUGGCCUUCGGGUUGUAAACCUCUUUCAGCAGGGAAGAAGCGGAAGUGACGGUACCUGCAGAAGAAGCGCCGGCUAACUACGUGCCAGCAGCCGCGGUAAUACGUAGGGCGCAAGCGUUGUCCGGAAUUAUUGGGCGUAAAGAGCUCGUAGGCGGCUUGUCGCGUCUGCUGUGAAAGCCCGGGGCUUAACUCCGGGUGUGCAGUGGGUACGGGCAGGCUAGAGUGCAGUAGGGGUAACUGGAAUUCCUGGUGUAGCGGUGAAAUGCGCAGAUAUCAGGAGGAACACCGAUGGCGAAGGCAGGUUACUGGGCUGUUACUGACGCUGAGGAGCGAAAGCAUGGGGAGCGAACAGGAUUAGAUACCCUGGUAGUCCAUGCCGUAAACGUUGGGCACUAGGUGUGGGGGACAUUCCACGUUUUCCGCGCCGUAGCUAACGCAUUAAGUGCCCCGCCUGGGGAGUACGGCCGCAAGGCUAAAACUCAAAGGAAUUGACGGGGGCCCGCACAAGCGGCGGAGCAUGCGGAUUAAUUCGAUGCAACGCGAAGAACCUU
rnacentral:rRNA from 1 species